GGAAGAUCUUCCAUGACACUUUGUGGUUGUGAAUUGAUUGGCAUCACUUUAACAUGUCUCCAAGUGCUUAUUAUCUUAUCUCUCAUACACGAAGUAAAGACUCCCAAGAAGCAUUACAGAGAUAUCUGUGGGUGAGGGUUAGCCCCAGUACAGAUUGUACCAGUAUGAACAUUCAAGAUUCUAUUCCYUUAGCUUCCAUGUUUGUUUGUGAUCUCUUCAUCUGCUCUUGAAGUGUGCUGUACAGUCCUUUUUGUGCUAUAAGGSUCCAGGGGAAAGAAUGAGGUCUGCGGAGAUGAGGUACGGAGCUCAUGAGUGUUGUCUCCUCCCUUUCAUGAGUGUUAUCUCCUUCCUUUCUCCCUUCAGAGGAGACACCAUGCAAAGCAGAAAAAAAAAAAGGGCAGAAAAAGAGAGAAGUGGCUCACCAGCUGAGCAGGGCAGGACUAGCACAGCUCCUGCAAGACAUAUGUGCUGCUUUCCCAUCGGGGAACACAAGAGCUGUCAGCCUUGCCUGUCCAAACUGAGGACUUAUCAACACGGCUCUGAGCUCUUGGUUAGUGCAGCUACCUGAUACCACACCAGUCUGGCUGACAUCCAUCUGGCUCAGACCAUAAGCAACUGCAUGCACCRUCCUGCAUGAGCGUUUUUGCUCAGUUGCAGUAGUCAGUUCCCACAAUGGCUACUGCAGCAGUCAUACAGAGACACAGAGUGAAUUGCUAGUCACUGUGCAGUGGAAGCAAACUGUUCCUGAGACAGCAACACUCUUAGUAUAUAAUUUCRUAUUUUAUAGUACAUAAUCCUUUUGGAUUGUUCAAAUAAAAUGCAAAAAUGGCAAUAUAUUUAAACCAAAGGAAAAAGAAAUUAAAACCAGAGCAGUUCUAAAUUGUCAUGUUUGAAAUUACUUUGAAAUGAAAUUAAACUUUUCAAAGACAAAUGGGUUUCUUGUGGCUCCAAAAGAAACAGUAAGCAAUAAAAUCCAGACUUACUUGUGUGUAAAUGAUUUAGGUGGUGAAUGGGGAAGAGUGGGUCAUARAGUGAUGAGCUGAAGAAAGUACAUYUGCAAGUUCUUGAAAAACCCAYGUGGGAGAGUGUUCCASAGAAAGACUGAAUAGUAUGACUCAACUUGAUCCAGAUAAGGUUUUCCUAGGGGAAUAAAAGACAAAACCUUUGAUCUUGGUUGCUGUGAUAGAAAAUUGAGUAAUAAAUAAUGGUUCUGUUAAUGUCUUAAUCAUAGCUUAUACAUGAUGUUCUCUUGCCAACCUUCCUUUGCGUCUCAUUGUACUUUGA